GAUCCUGGCUCAGGAUGAACGCUAGCUACAGGCUUAACACAUGCAAGUCGAGGGGCAGCAUGGUCUUAGCUUGCUAAGGCCGAUGGCGACCGGCGCACGGGUGAGUAACACGUAUCCAACCUGCCGUCUACUCUUGGACGGCCUUCUGAAAGGAAGAUUAAUACAAGAUGGCAUCAUGAGUUCACAUGUUCACAUGAUUAAAGGUAUUCCGGUAGACGAUGGGGAUGCGUU
rnacentral:rRNA from 1 species